rnacentral:rRNA from 2 species
GAGCAGUGGGGAAUUUUGGACAAUGGGCGCAAGCCUGAUCCAGCCAUGCCGCGUGAGUGAAGAAGGCCUUCGGGUUGUAAAGCUCUUUCAGCUGGAAAGAAAUCGUACUUAUUAAUACUAGGUGCGGAUGACGGUACCAGCAGAAGAAGCACCGGCUAACUACGUGCCAGCAGCCGCGGUAAUACGUAGGGUGCGAGCGUUAAUCGGAAUUACUGGGCGUAAAGCGUGCGCAGGCGGCUUUUUAAGCCAGAUGUGAAAUCCCCGGGCUUAACCUGGGAACUGCAUUUGGAACUGGAAGGCUAGAGUGUAGCAGAGGGGGGUAGAAUUCCACGUGUAGCAGUGAAAUGCGUAGAGAUGUGGAGGAAUACCAAUGGCGAAGGCAGCCCCCUGGGUUAACACUGACGCUCAUGCACGAAAGCGUGGGGAGCAAACAGGAUUAGAUACCCUGGUAGUCCACGCCCUAAACGAUGUCAACUAGGUGUUGGGGAAGAGAUUCUUUAGUACCGCAGCUAACGCGUGAAGUUGACCGCCUGGGGAGUACGGUCGCAAGAUUAAAACUCAAG